rnacentral:rRNA from 1 species
CCUAACACAUGCAAGUCGAGCGGUAGAGAGAAGCUUGCUUCUCUUGAGAGCGGCGGACGGGUGAGUAAUGCCUAGGAAUCUGCCUGGUAGUGGGGGAUAACGUUCGGAAACGGACGCUAAUACCGCAUACGUCCUACGGGAGAAAGCAGGGGACCUUCGGGCCUUGCGCUAUCAGAUGAGCCUAGGUCGGAUUAGCUAGUUGGUGAGGUAAUGGCUCACCAAGGCGACGAUCCGUAACUGGUCUGAGAGGAUGAUCAGUCACACUGGAACUGAGACACGGUCCAGACUCCUACGGGAGGCAGCAGUGGGGAAUAUUAGACAAUGGGCGAAAGCCUGAUCCAGCCAUGCCGCGUGUAUGAAGAAGGUCUUCGGAUUGUAAAGCACUUUAAGUUGGGAGGAAGGGUUGUAGAUUAAUACUCUGCAAUUUUGACGUUACCGACAGAAUAAGCACCGGCUAACUCUGUGCCAGCAGCCGCGGUAAUACAGAGGGUGCGAGCGUUAAUCGGAAUUACUGGGCGUAAAGCGCGCGUAGGUGGUUUGUUAAGUUGGAUGUGAAAUCCCCGGGCUCAACCUGGGAACUGCAUUCAAAACUGACUGACUAGAGUAUGGUAGAGGGUGGUGGAAUUUCCUGUGUAGCGGUGAAAUGCGUAGAUAUAGGAAGGAACACCAGUGGCGAAGGCGACCACCUGGACUGAUACUGACACUGAGGUGCGAAAGCCGUGGGGA